AUAUUGGUUUUGGAAAUCUUUAAGUGUCUAAUCGACUGUUAGAACUGUGCUCAAAUUUGGAUAGUUGGAAGGUCCUAAUUUUCAAAUGCUAUCUCACGAGUAUGCUCCUCCGUCUUUACAUUUUCAAAUGCUAAAUUUUGAUGAAAACCUAAUUGACAAUUUUCAAAUGCUAAAUUUUUCUUUAGUUAAUUGACAAUAUUCCUCACUUCCUUCAUUGAUUUUCUCAUGUAGGGGUUGUUUGAGAUAUGUACACUAUAUUUUCUAUCUGACAACAGUUGGAUUCGCUGUUCUUUAAAG
rnacentral:lncRNA from 1 species